GUCCCGCCUCCUAUUCUAUCCGUCCACUAACUCCCUUCCCCACCCUCUUCGUUUCGGUGUUUGUGGUCGCGAACUCGACAAGGGGAGUAACUACACUUGGCUAUGAGAUUGCUGGAGACAGCAGGAACAUUUCUUCUAUGCACUGUGGCCUUCACUAUAGUGGAUGGACUUCGAUGUUUGGCUUGUCGAGGACAGAAUGUCUACGAGUGUAUUAGAAGUGCCAUGAUCACUGUAUGCAGCCAGGGAGAGCUCUGCCGCUUCCGAAAAGUGAAUCGAUUCCUGGGGCCCAAGAAGAUAUGGUUCGAGGCAGAAUGUGCCAGCAGAGACGUCUGCCGGCAGCCGGAUACGUUCGAAAGCGCUCACUUCUGCUGUAGAGUUAGUUAUUGUAAUUACCUCCCCGCCGGAAGAUAGGCCUUAGCAAUGCUGGUGGCGAUAUUGUUUACGUGUGUGUAAUGUGUAUGUUUGUGUGUCCCUGCGUGCGUGCGUGUCUUAAGAAUAUUUAUUAUUCUGGAAUGAUAGUUUUAAAGAGUUAUUUUAAAUACUUUCACAAUGCUUUUCAUUUUCUUGUAGGCCUUUAAUUUUAGUCAAUACAUUGUAAACCUAUUUUUGUUCAUUCAAAUUUCAAACAUUUAGAUCUAGACAUCAGGACAGAUGUGUACGCACGUACAGAAUAUCACUCAUUCACUUCUCUAGAAGUAUAAAAGGCAUUUAAUUUAAAAAAAAUGGCAUUUUUAUUUAAAACACGGUUAGUAGUCCUUGCUUGGGGCAUUAGUUUAUAAUAAGAUGCAAUACUUGUAUUGGUCCUAACCAAAUGAAGCAGACAAGGGCGAAAACCGAAGAGAAAAUGUAAGUCAUAGGAUAAAAUACAAAAAAAAAAAAAAAUCCGUUUGAUUUUAUUUUAGCUAUAUAUGGGGCAACCUUUCGUAUAUGCAUUUUUGAAUUCUUUAAUGUCAAUGUGAAUAUACAAUAGCCACAUUUAAGAAUUUAGUAGGUUUUGCAUUCAUUCAAAAAAAAAAAAAAAAGAACUUCACAUUUUAAAGAAUUUAUGUGUGACAAUUAAUGAUAAUAUAGACAUUUUUCUUUGCAUAUAAUUUUUUUUUUAUAAAUAAUUGUUAUCGAAUUUAAUAUGUUAUCUAUUAAAUACAAUUUGUACACACUU